rnacentral:lncRNA from 1 species
CCACUUUGUUUAUCAACCUCUGCUAUAUUCCCAUCUACGUUAAUCACCAGCUUCCCAUUCUCUCCUAACUUCACAUCGCCGAACAGUGAAACAAGCAGGGCAUGAAUUACCUUCUCUGCUUUCUUCACGUUCUCUUCUUCUGUUUUUACAGCCUCCGACUCCACUAUGACUUUCGGAACCUCGCGGUUGAUGUUGAGAAUGAGUGCUACCACGGAAUCUGAUACCAUGUCGCUUAAAGGGUCGGAUGUCCAGUGAAGUGAGACAUGUUUCUCUGAUUCCUGCUUCACGGUUACUCGGUCAUGCACACGAAUCAUUGGAACGCCGGAUUCAUCAUCUGUUGAAGAUUCUACACUCUCAUAUACCUGUUUGAGCCUACGUACGAUCACAUUAAAGGCGUUGGAGUAUGGAAUUGUAAUGCGCUGGUUGAUGUUUGCAGUUGAUAGCUGAGAGAAAAUGUGUAGAUCCUCUGGUGCCAUUAUUUGAUAUGCAAAUCCUUUCUUCACUAGUAAACCGCUGACAGUUUCGCCAACGUCUGGAGUCUUCUCAGCCAAUUUUCCAAUAGUUUUUGCCAUUUUCUGGGAGUUGAAAUACAUCUCAACAGACUGACAAUUCUUCGGAGUGAGAAUCUUUGUAUUCCGAUCAGCAAAUUGGGACAUAAGCUUCUGUUUCAGCCUCCCCAUCUCAUUAGCUUCUCCAUGGACGAGAAUUAUGUUGGGUGGCAUGAGCUCUUCCAAGAAUGCACUCGUCUGCGCAAAGUCAGCAUGGGCAGAGAAAGAAAUGUAAUGAACCUGCAUGUUGAGAGGAGCCAUGAGUCCACUCAUGAGGGUGACUUCCUUUGGCUCAUUGAUUAUAGUCUUAGCUAGUGUACCUUCAACGACAUAACCAGGAAGCACACAUGAAUUUUUCUUAUCAGAACACCACAUUUCAAAGAGCUGUCGUGACAAACCGCUUUGAAGUCCACUAGGGCUGGCCAUCACCACUGAUGGGCCAACAUCCUUGAAAACUUCAAUGCUCUUUAGUGGGGAUAUGUACUUGAAUCUGAAGGGGUUUGAUUUGGCAUUUUGGAUCCUAUCAUUCAUGGAGAGCGUAUAUGUCUCAUAAACAGUCAAACAUCUUUUUGCCAGAGGAGAAGCAUAGUAUAUGGGAAUAUUAUGGAGCUCAGGAUGGUUUGCCCAAUAUUCAUCAAGAAUAAGGAGGAGCUCCUGGGCACGUCCAAGGGCAAAAGCUGGAAUCAGUACACGACCACCUUGAGAAAUGGUUGAAUGAACAACAUCGGUAAAACGCUUCUCUCGAAUAUGUCGAGGUUGAUGGAGCUGGACACCAUAUGUGGAUUCAAUUAUGCAAACAUCAGGAGAAAACUGAGGCAUCUCGGCAGCCCGAAGAUGCCGAUCUUCUUCACGUGAAUAGUCUCCAGUGUAGAGAACUCGGACACCAGCAAUAUCCACCAUAAACAUGGCAGCACCAAGCACAUGACCAGCAGUGUAACACCAAAACCGAAUACCAUUAACUUCUACUGUUUGGUGGAAAUCAAUGACCUGCAAUUACUGUGCACUAUUAUUAAAUAAGAGUAACCGAUAUCCAUUUUCAACUAUACAAAUCAGGGUGCAAGGAUAUGAAACCCAUGCAAGUUGACAACAACAUAACCAAUAUAAUGAUUCUGCAUUCCACCAUAGCUGGCUCAUUAUCAUUAUUACCUCGAGGACUUACAUGACUAUCAUACAGAUAUCUUUGCUAUUUUAUCAUCUUUCAAUAAGAUUAUUAGAAAUGUAACAGCUGGUGAUAUAUAUUUAAAUUUGCCUUCAACCACCAGCUUAAGCUUUUGGGUGAAUUGGCAGUUUAAUAGUAACAUUUAAAUGAAACUGAACUUCACAAAACAGCCAAUUUCAAUGAAUACAACAAAAGACCACUUGUAGUUCAAUCAUAUUUGAUUCUGAAAUUUUAAGGACUGAAUUUCAAAAUUUUAAUGGAAAAAGUUAACAAACAACUAAAGCAGAAGGGGAUAAGGGCAGAGGCAGACGAAUGACAGAUAGUGCGCGUGGAAAGUACAUUUGAUAAACAGUUACUAAAUAAAACGUCAAGCAGAUUUUUAAUAGAAGGUACGAUUUUGGUAGAAUCACUGAAAAUUAAUUAUCACCAUGGAUGAAACAGCAAGUCAAGACUCGAGAGAUGUUCACAAUGAGAAAUAAUUUACCUCAAUCUUGUCCAUGGAACGACUUAUGUCCUGCUCAUCGUACAACAUAUCUUCAACCGAAACUUUGCUCACUUUCACAAAGUCUAAGAGCAACAACUUGUAGAUCGCUUUAGUAGCAUAAGUCAUAAAGACUCGUCCUUUGAAUGUAGUCUAUCAAAUUAAUGCUAGAUUAGUUUCUGUACUCGAGCAACAAUCACAUUGAAAUUCAAAUAGAAAGUACCUUCUCCAAGAAAUAAGGGAGAGAUGCAGCAUGGUCCAAAUGAAAGCUGUGAAAUAAAUGUGCAUGAAAUUAUCUUGGUUAAAAGAACACAAAAAACAAUAAGAGGCAGAAAUAAAGAGAGCUAAAAAGAAUUAGAAUCUCGUGCCAUGAUCAGAUUUGAAACACUGUGAAAAACUGCUCCUCGGGAAUAUUUGCAUUUUCCAUGAUUUUAAUAAGGAGGCAUGAGUUUUAACGAAAUGUAGAACACGUGUUUCGAAAGAACGUGAUCAGGAAGGAAAAACCUUUAUGUUUGGGGCAAAGAUGUUAAAGCAGUGACCUUAUACCCAUUCUAAAGUGCAACUGCAAAUAACCAUCCACCAUCAUUCACUAAUUUUGCACAAGUAAAAAAGAGCAAUAUAAUACAAAACGUCCGAGUUAAGAGCUGCAUUGUUUAAAAUUUUAAAAAGAACGAACGAAUAAAACACAUACUGGGUAAUGAGCAGGACAUCAAUCGUUGAGGGGUCAAUCUCAUCAAAGUAAGGCAAAGCAGCCAUGCCAGAGUAAGCAGGGUGAAUUCCACAAUCAAACUGUCAACCAGAGGAGAAAAGAAAAAUUACCACUAACACAAUUAAACCUCCAUAUGUUAAAUUAUAUUUAUACCCCGAUAGUAAAUGAGAAAUAAUAAUGAGUUCAAAGCAUACCAAAACAAUUUUGCCUUUGUAAGACAUAUAUACACAGGAACGACCCACUUCAUUGCCAGCCCCAAGAGGAGUUAUAAUAAGCUGAUCCUCCUCUCUGGUCGAGGAUGCAUCCCGUUUCUUAAGUGAUGGCGGCUGUCCAAGAGAAGCCAUUUCUCCAAAAUCUUUCCAAAAGGGAAGACUGAAUUAAAUCUUACAAUUCCAAAAUAUACAAACAUAAUAAGUAAUUGCACAGAGUAUGAGUGAAACAGAAACAGAUCAAAAAAAUGCUGAAGAAGAAGGAAAAAGAGAGUGAAGUUAGUAAGUAAAAGAGAGAACAUGUGUAGAAAGAGAACUUACAGUGUUGUAGAUGAAAGAAGAAAGAGAAGGAGAAAUUCAAAAAAGAACUGUGAAUUGUUUGUUGGGUUUUAGACGGAGAAAUUCAACGGGAGAGAAGAGAAGAGGAGAGAAGGAAGGAGAAAUUUUAGACGAGGAGGGUAGUUUGGGAAAUCGGCCCUUGGAAAAAGAAGAUGAAAAAAAAUGAAAAAGCCGACCACAGUGGGAGUCGAACCCACGACCUUCUGAUCCGAAGUCAGACGCGCUAAUCCACUGCGCUAUGCGGUCAUUUGUUGAUUACGAAGAGAAAUUAAAUUAAUUAUAUGAUAAUUAUAUUUUCAAUUAUAAAUUAAUUAAGAUAUGAUUCAAUUUCCAUAACACACAACAAAUUUUCAAAAUCGCUCUAUUCAUUUAAGUACUAGGACAAUCAUAAAAAGUGUUCAAGAUACAAGUGUGAUUUUUUUUGUAUACCGAGAGUAUUUACAUAUCUCAAAUUAGUAUAAAAAAAUAUAGAUCAUUCAAUUUUGUAUUUUAACACGUUCAUCGACUAAAGUAUUUUAAUCAAAUAGAUCGUUAGAGUUAGUCAUUGAUAAGAUUAUCAGUGUAUGAGCCGCUAGAGAUGACUACUACAUGUAGUCAUCUAAAGAUUGUCGUAAUUAAUAGUCAAAGUUGAUCUUUAAUAGAUGGACAAUGGUGACGAUCAAGGUCAAAACAAGAGAAACAAAUAAAUUGUAUAAAGAAUCAGAACUUACGAAUUGAGUUAUUUUUAUUGCAAUGAAAACAUUACAAGUUUUGAAUGGUAAAUAAAAAACUAACCACUGAUGUCCUAACACACUGACUUCAAAAUUCUUCACCCAUUUCACUAAGCCAAUAACUUAAGUUCACAAAAAAAAUACUAAUUUAAUUACUUAGCACUAAUUCUUGACAAAGUUAUGUAAUCCAAGUUGGUCAUCAGAUAACUGUCAUCAAAGUGAGCUAACAGAUGAUGGCUGCGCCUAGACUAGAUCACUAACAUGUGGAGAAACUAGAGUUUUGUAGUCUUAACGUGCAAGUGGUAAUUAUGCCACAAUAGUAAAGAUCAUUGACUAAAGGAUAAAUUUCAAUCGUAUGGUAUAGAAAAAGUUCAAAUUAGGUCUCCUCGUAGUUUGAUUAAAUAUGAUUAACUUAUAUAUAAUACAACAGAUAAAACUAUAAAAUCUAAUGACUACAAGGAAUAACAAAACUACCAAAACUUGCCUUCAGAUUUCUGUCAAUAUAACACAGCAUCAGAAUAAGUUAAUAAGUUUAAGCAUUAUAAAAAUUAAGUGCAUCCCAUCCUUGAAGGAGAAGAAGCAGGCUGACUCACGCUCGUUAUAUCUCAAAUUCAAAUGCAGUUCAAGCUCCUGCAGCAAAAAGACAACCUCCAAAGAAAAUUUGCCUCCCACUUUUCACAAUAUUCUUUGCGCCUCCUUCCGAGUGCUCCUAACUACAGGGAAGCUUUCUCUGAUUGUUCUUUUUCUUUUUUUUUCUACUAAUGAGAAACAUGAUACAAAAUGGAACUGGCCCAGAGCUUCUGUACAGAUCUAUUCACAUUAAAUAUUCAGACAGCCUCAGAAUUUCCACUGCAAAAAUCAAAAGUUUUCGUUAUUAAAAUGUAACAAUAAACCACAUAUUCUUGUCCACUUCCGAAGUGUUUUGGGUCACUGAAUUGAAUUAUGAAGUGUAAGUCAAUAUGCUGAGUUAAGAGUUUGUACUUGGAUGUUGAGUUGUAUGAUGGAAUUCUUAGAUGAAAGGAAAGAUAGAAUUUCAACAAAUAUGUGAACUUCAUUGUUGAAGUCUGUUUAACCAUCAACUUAGAAGUUGGUGGGUCAAAAACCAGUUUAUAGAGAUUUCUAAAGAGAGACAAAUAUUCUACUCAGAAUCAGUGGCAAAUAUCAAGUCAUACCAUGAAUUAUGAGAUUGUAUCGAUUAAGACCUAGAACUAAUAAUUGUAUCAACUCAACUAAAGAACUUUGUCAUAUAAAUUUAAACAUCAAACUAAUAGUUGUACAAAAUUAAACCUGAACUUUCAUAAAAUUUAAAGCAACUUAUAUCAAUUCAAACUCUCAACUUUCAUAAGUGUAUCCAAAUAGAACAUAAUGGAAGGUUUAAAUUGAUACAAUUAUUAGUUAAGGGUUUAAAUUGAUACAAUUAUUAGUUAAGGGUUUAAAUCGAUACAAACUCCAAAUUCAAGGAUAUAAAUUGAUAUUCUCCCAAGAAUUGAUUAUAAUGUGAUAAGAAAAAUCAAUGGACCAUACUAUUUAAGGUUUACUAAAUUAGAAUGUCUUACUUGAUCGUCCCAUGUUUGUCCACAGGAAAUGUAGUUUCGUCGUUCUUCCUGCAUGUUUCUUUGGAAACCUGGGGAAAAUCUCUGACCUUCAAUAGAACUUGGGUACUGUCCUUGACCAUAAGGCAUUCCUGCUCCAUGACCACGAUAUCUACCUUGCUCAUACGGUCCACCCUGUGCAGAAUUAAAGCCACUAGAAAAAAUACGCUGGCCUAGUCGAGGCACAUAGUCUCUCUGCUCUCCUUGAGGGAGACAAUUUUCUAGCAUAUCAUGGGUAUAAUUUCCCUGCCCCCUUUGACUGUAGUUUACUGCAUGAUAAGGCAUUAGACCUCUUCCUCCAUAAUAGGAAUCUCUUCCUUUAGGAAUAUAAGUGUUCAUAGGUGAAUAAUCUCUCCUUUCUCCAAGCCCUCCACUACCAUAAUUACUUGGGCCUAGUGGAGGCAUAUAAUCUCUAUGCUCUCCCUGAGGGAAAUAAUUUCUUUGCACGUCAUGGUUAUAACUUCCAUGCCCCCUUUGAUUGUAGUUUACUUGAUGAUAAGGAAUUGGACCUCUUCCUCCCUGAUAGGAAUCUCUUCCUUCAUAACUUCCAUGCCCCCUUUGAUUGUAGUUUACUUGAGGAUAAGGAAUUGGACCUCUUCCUCCCUGAUAGGAAUCUCUUCCUUCGGUAGCAUAAGUGUUCAUAGGUGAAUAAUUUCUCCUUUCUCCAAUCCCUCGAGUAAAGCCACUACCAUAAUUACUCUGGCCUAGUGGAGGCACAUAAUCUAUUUGCUCUCGUUGAGAAUGAUAAUUUCCUUGCACAUCACAAUUAUAACUUUCCUGCACCCUUUGAAUGUCGUUUACUUGAUGAUAAGGCAUUGGACCUCUUCCUCCCUGAUAGGAAUCUCUUACUUCAGGAGCAUAAGUGUUCAUAGGUGAAUACUCUCUCCUUUCUUGAAGCCCUCGAGUAAAGCCACUACCAUAAUUACUCUGGCUUGGUGGAGGCAUAUAAUCUAUCUGUUCUCGUUGAGACCAGUAAUUUCCUUGCAUGUCAUAAUUAUAAAUUUCCUGCACCCUUUGAUUGUAGUUUCCUCGAUGAGAAGGCAUUGGACCUCUUCCUCCUUGAUAGGAAUCUCUUCCUUCAAGAGCGCUAGUAUUCAUAGGUGAAUGAUCUCUCUUUUCUCGAAGCCCUUGAGUAAAGUCACUACCAUAAGUACUCUGACCUGGUGGAAGCACAUAAUCUCUUUGCUCUCCCCGAGGGAGAUAAUUUCCUUGCACUUCAUGGUUAUAACAUCCAUGCCCCCUCUGCUCUCCCUGAGGGAGAUAAUUUCCUUGCACUUCAUGGUUAUAACUUCCAUACCCCCUUUGAUUGUAGUUUACUUGAUGAUAAGGCAUUGGACCUCUUCCUCCUUGAUAGGAAUCUCUUGCUUCAGGAGCAUAAGUGUUCAUAGGUGAAUAAUCUCUCCUUUCUCGAAGCCCUUGAGUAAAGCCACUACCAUAAUUACUCUGGAUUGGUGGAGGCAUAUAAUCUAUCUGCUCUCGUUGUGACGGGUAAUUUCCUUGCAUGUCAUAAUUAUAAAUUUCCUGCACCCUUGGAUUGUAGUUUCCUCGAUGAGAAGGCAUCGGACCUCUUCCUCCUUGAUAGGAAUCUCUUCCUUCAAGAGCACUAGUCCUCAAAGGUGAAUGAUCUCUCUUUUCUCGAAGCCCUUGUGUAAAGCCACUACCAUAAUUACUCUGGCCUGGUGGAGGCAUAUAGUCUAUCUGCUCUCGUUGAGGCUGAUAAUUUCCUUGCACAUCAUAAUUAUAAAUUUCCUGCCCCCUUUGAAUGUGGUUACCUCGAUGAGAAGGCAUUGGACCUCUUCCUCCUUGAUAGUAAUCUCUUCCUUCAAGAGCGCUAGUAUUCAUAGGUGAAUGAUCUCUCGUUUCCCUAAGCUCUAGGGGACCAUAAUUUUGGGAUGGACCUUGCGGCGAAUAGUUUUGUGAAGCUCUGGAAUGGCAUUCAUCUCCUUGUAUAGAACCCUGUUGAUUAAAAGAUGGAUUAGCUUGCCUAUUCGGUGUUGAUGUAGCUGGCCUCUCAUAUCUUGGUUGAUCCAGAUUUCCGCUACGGUCUUUUCGCACCUGCCUUCCAGCAUAUUGUCCAGGUGGUGGUCUUGGUAUAACCGUUCCAUUGAUAUAUUUAUCUCCUGAUUAUUAAAAAAUAAUGUUGUAAAUUCAAAGGUCAUGAAACAUCUAGUAUUAAACAAAAUUUUCAUCAGGAGGAUACAUCACUUGGUUAACUAUAAAAGAAAAUUCAGUAAUUGACAAAUUGGGCAGUUGCAUACCUCCAUACUCCUUGUUUACUUGAUCAACGUAAGAAUCAGCCAAUACAAACAAAACACCAGGUAGACCUAGUAAAAGAAAGAUUUAAAAUCAGCAUUGCACAUAGCAUUUGAAAAGUGUACUUAGAUGUCAUCAACAACUACCGCGAAAUUUCUCUGAUUCUUCUUUUGUCAUCACAGCCUGAAACCCUUGAUACGUAGUCGUAGUACAAGCAUAAAUCCUUUUUUUUGCUUCUUCCACACUGUUCAUGGUUUGGGAAAAGAAUGUUAAACUAAAGCAUAAUUUUAUCAAAAUUAAUCAUUUCAAAAUACUAGAGCUGUACCAGUUGCAACCCAUUUAAAUGCAAGGAAAAAGGUAAGAAACGGUCUGAACAUAAUAAAGAAUAAACAUUGUACGAAGAUCAUGCAACAGAAACAAAACCAAUAUUCUAUUCAAGCAUGCCAUGGGUAGUUGUAGUUAGACAGAAAAUACACCAAAUUGAGAUAUGUGGGUGUUAAAGGCCAAUUUAAUGCAUGGUAAUCAUAUUGUAGGGCCGUCGCAUAGCCAUACAAUAUCAAAAAGUUAAGAAAACCAGAUGAUAAAUAUCCUGAGGCAACAUUAAAACUUGAACUCGUGAACUUACAAUUAUAUGAACUACAAUAGCUUAAUCUUGUCACUGCUGAUUCAGUCCACAGUGGGGAACGUAAUAAUUCCAUCACAAUUCCAUCAACUAAACCCACAUACUCCAACAAAAACCAAAAAACAUAGGAAGCGAUAUUGCUAGCAUUAGCGAAGAUGUCAAGAAAUCAAGGUUUACUUGUUAAUAAUCAAUUUAAAAUAGUUUGGAGUCAUUUCAUAUACGCGCCAUUUGCAUUGUGAUCGAAAACAGUGAAUGAAUCAAAUUGAUCCUAAAAUAAUACUGGGGAUGUCAUAUAAAUGUCCUUAUCAACAUUUCAUAGGUGAAGGAUUGCAAAAAAAAAAAACCCAAAGUAUGCAUAGCAACACCUAGAGUAAGAAACGAAAAUGCAAAGUAGAAUGGUCAAGAUUCAAGUAAUUUCUAGAGGAAAAAACACGAAUAAUUGAAGAGACAGCUCUAACGAAGUUGCGCCUAUCAUGUACUAUAGAGUAUGGAGGCAACAGAGGCAGAAUGUAAGUUCUAAACCUCAAAGUUUUUUCAGAAGUUAAAAGAAAUCAAACCUAAUAUUUAGGCCUUUGGCACAGGUUUCUUCGUAGGUCCGAACCAUCUCCUCUGUAGUGGGUUUUGAGUCCCUAAAGUCCAUGAUGAUGAGCCAGUGGUUGUAAUCGCAGCCCUCAGGUGUAUCGGUCCAUAUGUCACCGCUCGCAAUAUCGUUCCCUAUCUUGACAUCUUGACUACCGCUAGCAAUAUCCUUCCCUAUCGUUACAUCUUCGCUACCGCUCGCAAUAUCGUCCCCUAUCUUGACAUCUUCGCUACCGCUAGCAUUAUCGUUCCCUAUCUUGACAUCUUCGCUACCGCUCGCAAUAUCGUUCCCUAUCUUCACAUCUUCGCUACCGCUUGCAAUAUCGUUCCCUAUCUUCACAUCUUCGCUACCGCUCGCAAUAUCGGUCCCUAUCUUGUCAUCUUCCCUAUUGCUAGCAAGUGAUAACCAGGAAUAGGAAGAAAUUGACGACAAUCUCAGUGGCCAAUGUGGUGAGAUCAUAGCCGGAGACUUAGAUAAUGACGGAGCGGAAGGACAAAAUAUAGAGUGGCUGGUUUGACCAGAUACUGCCGCAUAACGGUGGAAAGCAGAAAGAAAAGACAAAGUGCGGCGGAGACGAAGUGAAUGAAGGGCCAUGAUCGGUGAAAGACUGUAAUCGGAAUGAAGGAGAAAAGAGACAGGUCGUUAUUACACAUUUCUGUUUAUUUUUCAGUAAAAAACAAGAGAAAGUUACCAGCUACAAAGCACAGUGAUUCGAAAGAAGAUGAAUCCAGUGGAGCGUCAGCCGCAAAACCGACGGGAGCAAAUGCAACCGGCAGUGGCGGCAUGCCGGAGUGCUGGAAGGUAGUCGGAGAUAUUAAGAUGAUUCCAGUGGGACGACGGGCGUGAAGAGAAGUAAUAAAAAAAAAAAACUCGGGUUUAGGGUUUUGGGAUUAAAAUUACGAGAAAAACCCGUUUUGGAGGAAAAAAAAUAUCACAAAUAUCCCACAAGGGGUUUCUUCAAAAAUAAAAAAGUAUUAAGAAAAUAAUUCUAUAUUCAUCUUGAAUUUUGUAUCUUAUUCUAUUUGUUCUGUUCGAUCAUAUUCUCGCCUCUAACAAAAUGAUAAAGUAAAUUAUAUGUUGAUGAUCACGAUGGAUAAUUUGUUUUAAGAAUAUAGAAUUUUAAUUUUUAGUUAAAAACUAGAUAGUAAAUUUAUGUUUAAUAGUAGAACUCAAAAAGUUAAUGUUUUCUAAAAUAUUCAUCAUCGUCAUUUUGGCAGAUUGUCAUCAUUCUAUUUCACUUUCUCAACUCAUAUGUAUAAUUCAUCCAGAUAUAAUUUUUUUAGUACACUCAAGUUUGAGAUAUUUUGUGAUUGAUUGAACUGUUUUUUUUCUUUUUCAUUCCGAUUGAUCUUUCGGUUGGGGGUUUUAUGAUUCAGUGUAGGAAUGUUUGUUUACAAUUGUAGAGCUUAUUUUAAACAAGUGUGUAUUUAUUUUAUUUUUUUGCUAGUUUAUUUUGAACUGCGAUGAAUGUUAAACACUACUGUCAAUUCUAUUUUAAACACCAACAUCUCUUCUGGAUUCGCUUCGAGAUUAUUUCAAUUUGAAAAAUAAAUAAAUGGUGGGAGUUGGAGUUGGGGUUGGAGAGGAGAUGUGAAAGAUUUAAGUUUUGAAGAAAAAAAUAAUAUUAGUUUUUAAUUUAGAUUUAUUUAAUUUGUUAAUUAUAUUUUUAUGAUGGCAUAAAAGAUUUGUAUAAUAAAUUAACAAAAGCUCUUUGAUAUUUAUUAAUUUAAUUAAUAGUGAAUGUAUAGUUUAAUUAUCCAAAUAUAGAAUGCACAUCAUUCUAUAAUAGAAUUCUAAAACAGACCAAAGUAAGCUUUAUUUUCAAAAGUUUGAGGACCGAAAAAGACAAUUUUAAAAAUUUAAGGGCCAAAAUAGAACGAACUAGAUACAAAGUCGAGGGAUCAGAAUAAACUUACUUUGGUGCAUGCCUUUAGAAUUCCAACUUUUUAAUCUAAUGAAGUCACACGUAAUUCGCUACACUAAUUAAAUUGAACCAAGAAAUUUUACUAAUUUAUUCCUACAAAUCUUUUGUGUUGUAUGGAACAAUUUUGAAAAUAAAAAAGACUCACAGACUCACAAUGAAAAAGACAAAAAAUAUCAACCGGUCAGAUCCGUGUGUGUAAUUAUUCUCCUAAAAGAUCACAAUAGACGAUCAUGUCGAUAUUAUCAACACGAUUUUGUAGUUCUUUUCAACAACGAUGGAAAAAAUGUUUCAAAUCUAAACGAUCGUGUUGACUAUGCUAAAAGAUUGUGUUGAUCAAGUAAAUGAUCGUUUAGAUCAUAUAUAUAUAUAUACACGAUUGUGUAUUCCUUUUUAAAUGAUAGUGAAAGGGUUUCAAAUCUAAACAAUUACAUCGAGCAUGCUAAACUAUCAUGUUGACUAGAUAAACAGUUAUUUAAAUCAUAUCAAAGCUAUUGACGAUUAUUCACCCUACUUUUGGUAUUGAACCUCCAUUGUUGUUUGUAAGAAAUGGAGAAGUGUUAACGAAGUCCAGUGAAUGACAUGUGAUUAUGUAUAAAUACUAAAACUCAACCGUUAAAAAAAACUCCCAAUAGAAGGAAAAAUAAUACCAUAUUGAAAAAUUCAACAGGUUCGAAGCUACUAAUCUUUUCAUUAAGAGUUUGGUAUCUGUGGAAGGAGAAAGAGAUACGAGUAAUAGUUUUUAGUAUUUUCGGAUUUUAUCUGGUAAGUCAUGUUCGUACGUUGUUUGAGUAAUGAGUUGCAGUCUUUUUCAAACUAGUUUAAGUAAAGUUUAGAUGGAGCAAAUGACGUUGGUUACUUAAAUCUUUCUUUAAACAGUGUAUUGCUUAUUGAAACGUAUGUAUGUUAUAAAUGAGAUAAUUUUCUUGAAAACGAAACAAAGUCUUUGAACGGAAAGGAAUCAAAUAUGAAUAUAAAUUAGAAAUCUUUACACGUUCAUGCAGUUACAAAUCAUAAAUGUUAGCUAUAUAAUGAUUACAUGAUGGUUUCAAAACUCAAAUCUCUAUUGGGAAGGCAAUUAUUUCAUUUUAAAUAUAGUAUUUUCCUCUUUAUGGUAUUGGUGGUUCAAUGUCACUUUCAUAAUUUUUUUCAUUUGCACUUUGGAGGAGAAAUGACCAAAUAAUUUAUUUGCCAACAACAAUCAUGUUAGAUGAAUUGAUAUUAGAAUUUCUUUAUAUUUAUAUCAUUCUCGUGGCUACAACCUAUUAGAAGGUGUUUGAUUCAAAAGAAAUUGCAAUGGAUGACUAUUUUAACAAUAAUAAUUAAAGAUAUAGUAACAUUUUUAAAAAAUUGUAAAUAUAGCAAAACUAUCACUUAUAGACUUGUAUCGCUAAUAGGCUUCAUAUGGUAUAUAGUGAUAGACCAAUAUUUGCAACAUGGUCUACCAGUGAUAGACUUAUAUCAUUGAUAGAAUUUGACAAAUUUUGCUAUAUUUGCACAUUUUUUAAAAUUGUGUUAUAUACUUAAUUAAUUUGAAUUUAAUCGCUAAAUUUACAACUACCCCUUGACUCAAGGGUUGGGAUUGGAUGGAUUGGACAUCUCGUAGCCCAACCCUUGUUCGAGACGUUCUUAUAGGUUUUCUACUAACUUUUCCACAAGUUUGAAUUAUAAACAAUAUUUAAAACCAUAAGCUACUUUUUAAUUUUUGUACUAACAACAAAGAUAGCAAAUUUAUUCGUGAUUACCAUUCUUUUAAGCUUACAAAUUGAACGUUUGAUUUUUGUUUUUAAGAAAGAAAAACUAAUUAUUACAUGUAGUUGCAAGGCAGAGUACACAUUAAGUCUAUAUAUAUAUAUGUUUGUUUGUUUUCAUCUUAUUCUCCAUUUUCAUUCAUCUUCUUCUAUUUUAUUGUUUUGUUCUCUCUUCUAUCAAUUCUCACAAUGACUCCACCUAUUUUAAUUAUUUAUUUCUUAAGCUUGGUGUUGUUCGUUAAUGUCAUUCCAUUUGACUUCUUCCAGUUUGUUCAACAAUGGGGACCAAAUGUAUGUAAUAACGCUCGUGUCUCCUCGUGAUAUACUCCGCCUCAUCAAGUCAUGUUCACUAUUCAUGGCUUGUGGCCAAGUAAUUAUAGUAAUGUUCAUCUUGUUUUCCUAUCUUUAGUGUUUUAGCUAAUAUAUAAUGUUGUAACAUGCUUUAAUGUUAGGUUAUAUCAGUUGAAGAACAACUGGAUAUAUAUUGGCCAUAUGUAAAAUCUGAGAUCAAUUCUAAAUUUUGAAGUCAUGAAUGGGGCUUUCAUCACGGGAGAUGUACAAAUCCUCCUUUUAGCUUAUUUCAAAAUUUUCAAAUUUCUUUUUAUCUUCGAAAAGGAUAUUCUGUUGGCAAUCGUAAACGUCGUCAAGCUCAACCCUCACAUCUCCAAAGACCUUGUAUUCCAAGCCAUAGUCUGACAUCUACACUGUGUUUUAGCUUUCAACUAAAUUUGUGUGGCUCUUAUAACAAGAGAGAAAUUUGGUGAUAUUUGGCUUUAAGUUUCUUCUUUAUAUUAAAUUGUUGUGUUCACUAAUAUUGUGACCAUUAAGCAGUAGUUAGAUAAAUUUGAAUAAUUUGUUUUCGGAUGUCCAACAGAGACGAUUCUAUAAAUAGCCUUAAAUGUUAAUGAAGCAAAUGAAAAAUUUUAAAUGUACAAAUGGAAUCUUAUGCAAAAAAUACAAAUUUAAUUUUGAUAAAAUCUCAAAGGAAGAGUAAAAGGAAGGUUGAAAUGAAGCAAUUCCGAUGAUGACAAAAAUAAACUUUCACGAAACUGUCCUUUGCUGUCAUUUGCUAAACACCAUUCAAAUAUGAUAUGGCAUACGACGUUUACACUUCUCUUUUUCUCACUUUCUUUAAACAAUUACCAAAAUCCAAGUGGACAAACAAAAUAAGCAAUUCAAAAAUGAAGUAAAAAAAACUUGUAAAAUACAGUUUUUUUUUCCCUAUUUUUGAAAGUAGGCAGAGGAAAUAAUACAAAUUAGUCUACUUGAACAUGCCAAAUACAGAAAGCUAAAGCUAAAGCUAAAAGCUAAGAUGAUGAUGAAAGAGGAAUUGGGUUCACAGCGCAUUGAAUUCUUUGAAAUGCUGUUUUAACUCUUUCCUUGAGAGCUUCAUUAUCACUUUCUACUUCACCACUUUGUUUAUCAACCUCUGCUAUAUUCCCAUCUACGUUAAUCACCAGCUUCCCAUUCUCUCCUAACUUCACAUCGCCGAACAGUGAAACAAGCAGGGCAUGAAUUACCUUCUCUGCUUUCUUCACGUUCUCUUCUUCUGUUUUUAC